rnacentral:rRNA from 1 species
GCGUGUGUGAAGAAGGCCUGCGGGUUGUAAAGCACUUUCGGUAGGGAAGAUGAUGACGGUACCUACAGAAGAAGCACCGGCUAACUCUGUGCCAGCAGCCGCGGUAAUACAGAGGGUGCAAGCGUUAAUCGGAAUUACUGGGCGUAAAGGGCGCGUAGGCGGCCAUUUAAGUCGGAUGUGAAAUCCCUGGGCUCAACCUAGGAAUUGCAUCCGAAACUGAAUGGCUAGAGUUUGGUAGAGGAAAGCGGAAUUCCCGGUGUAGCGGUGAAAUGCGU